rnacentral:rRNA from 1 species
UCGUAUGGUGACAAGUCUCGUUAAUUCAGUAAAACGAGCGCGAUCCCAGUUCUAUAGUUUUGGUUUCUUUGCUUUGCGAAGAAAACAAGACCAUUGCCUCUCAGAGGUGAGGAAUUAGAAGACCGUCGGUGUAAGGAUUAUCCUGUAACCGAAGGAAGGGUGGGGCGAGAAUA